UCCGAAUUGGUGUAACGGUCAACAUUUCGCGUUUUCAUGAUUCUUCUUCAAGAUCAUAAUACCGCGGAGCUCGGGGUUCGAUUCCCCGAUUCGGAG